UUUUUUUCGGUUGACUUUUGUCUCUCUAACCCUAAUUUUUGUGCAAACUUUGACCUGCCAUAUCUCCGCAUCCGUAGCUCCGUUUUGGACAUAUAGUAUAUCAAAAUGUUCGCCUCGACGAGUACAUCAUUUGAUUCCAUUGCAUCAUUUUCAUUUGAGUUCAUCUUGAUGCCCGAAAUGCUGUUAGAAGGAGGCUUCGUGAGUUAAUUGUCAGAUCUGCUAGUUCAUCUUAGACUUUUGUCAUUUUUGCCAUGAUUGUUGUGUGCAUGAUAUGCAUGUGAGUCCUUCAUAUGUUUUGUUAAGCAUCUUGUUAUCUUUCCAGAGGUGCAACCCAUGCAUUUUUAGGAUGUGUGUGGUGACUUUUGCAAGCUUGCAAAGUGAGGCACCCGGUAAAUCUGUUUUCAGUGACUUAGUAAUUUCACUAAGUCUGGGAUUAUUUAGUUCAUGAUGCCAUAUGUUCAUGAUGUUUCCUAGUGAUCCGUGCCUCUUUUGAGGAUGAUCAAUAAAGGAGUUUUGUUAAUCUUGUUAUGCUCUAUCCAUCCACGUCUUUACUUGCAAUUAUGGAGCACCCUAGCUUGAGUCAAUCGAGCUCUACUUUUGCUUCGUUGUGAAUCUGGGCAGAUCGUCAAGUCGUUUGCGAUUUUGCCGAUGCUAUUGUAGUUGAUCCGUGCAUGCUAUGCCAUUGUUCUUGCCAUGUCUAGCUAGCAUUUUGUGCCUUAUUAAUGGAUGUAUGCUUAUCUUGCCAUGACUUGCACCGUGGUGAGUGCAUAGAGCUCGUUUACAUGCCUUCGUGAGUUAUAUUUCAGCAUGUCUCAGUUUUCACUAAGUCUGAAAACUGAUUAUGUUUUAGCUAUGUUCGUGCGCUCGUUAGUAUAUUUUGUGAUCCCUCUUGGCCCCAGGUCACUUAGGGUAUUUUGUUAAGCUUGUUGAGUAGCUCCAUGCCAUGUUCUUAUUUGUCUUAAUCAGGUCCUGUAGCAUGUUGUUUUGCUGCUCCAAAGAGGGCUUCAUGAUCUGAAACUUCAGACAAGUGUUAAUUUCACUAAGUCUGAAAUCUGUUUUGCAUUUGCGUUUUUGCCAUGCUUGUUUGAACCUCAUAAUGGAUGAAUUGGCCGUGACUCAGUGCUAGUCUUUUGUUAAGCAUCUUGAAUGCUUCCCUGGCAUGUAUUUUGUUGUCAUGUUUGGGUGUUGUAGCAUGUUCAUCUCAUUGCAUUUAGAUGACUACUUGCUGUAAAUCGCAGACCGGUGUCAUUCUUAAAUCGCUUGCCAUUUCCAAACCGUAACUCCGAUUCUGGCGUUCUUUAUAUCGUUUUCAAGCGCUUUCAUCCCAUCUUUCCAGUGACACACUUGGUUUUUCCAAGUUGAGGCCAGGUUCAUGCAUUUCCUGUCAUAUCUUGCAUUUUGCAUGCCGCAUCGCAUCCCGCAUAGCAUACCAUCAUUGCAUCUUAUUGUCUGAGUUUGCACGUGGUUGAUUGUAUCCUUGUUGCUUGUUUGUCUUGUUUGGGUAGAGCCGGGAGAUGAGUUCGCUAACGAGGAGCCCGUUGAGUUUGCUUUUGAGGAUCCAGUCAACUCUGACAGCUUUGCAGGCAAGAUGAUCAUACCCUCGAAAUCACUACUAUCUUUGCUAUGCUAGUUUGCUCGCUCUUUUGCUAUGCCAAUGCUACGAUGCCUACCUUUUGCUUGUCAGCCUCCCAAUUGCCAUGUUGAACCUCUAACCCACCAUGUCCUAGCAAGCCGUUGAUUGGCUAUGUUACCGCUUUGCUCAGCCCCUCUUAUAGCGUUGCUAGUUGCAGGUGUAGAUUGGAGCCGUUCCUUGUUGGAACAUUUACUUACUUGUUGGGAUAUCAUUAUAUUGCUAUGCUAUCUUAAUGCAUCUAUAUACUUGGUAAAGGGUGGAAGGCUCGGCCUCUCGCCUAGUGUUUUGUUCCACUCUUGCCGCCCUAGUUUCCGUCAUAUCGGUGUUAUGUUCCCGGAUUUUUGCGUUUCUUUCACGGUUGGGCUAUAAUGGGAACCUCUUGAUAGUUCGCCUUGAUUAAAGCUUUUCCAGCAAUGCCCAACAUUGGUUUUAUCAUUUGCCACCUAGCCUCUUUUUUCCUUGGGUUUCCGGAGCCCGAGGGUCAUCUUUAUUUUAGCCCCCCACGGGCCAGUGCUCCUCUGAGUGUUGGUCCGAACUAGAGCCCUGUGCAGCGCCCCCUCAGGGAAACUCGAGGUUUGGUUUUAGUUGUACGGAUUGCUCAUCUGAGUGUGCCCUGAGAACGAGAUAUGUGCAGCUCGUAUCGGGAUUUGUUGGCACAUUCGGGCGGUGUUGCUGGUCUUGUUUUAACCUGUCGAAAUGUCUUGUUGUACCGAGAUACCGAGUCUGAUCGGAACGUCUCGGGUGGAGGUCUAUUCCUUCAUUGACCAUGAGAGCUUGUCAUGGGCUAAGUUGGGACUCCCCUGCAGGGAUUGAACUUUCGAAAGCCAUGCCCGCGGUUAUGGGCAGAUGGGAAUUUGUUAAUAUCCGGUUGUAGAUAACUUGAACAUAAACUUAAUUAAAAUGAAUCAACCGUGUGUGUUACCGUGAUGGCCCCUUCUCGGCGGAGUCCGGGAAGUGGACACGGUGUUGGAGUAAUGCUUGCGCAGGUUGUUCUUCUAGAUUCUCGCUCGCGCUUUGCCUCCUCUUCUCGCUCUCUUUUGCGUAUAAGUUAGCCACCAUAUAUGCUAGUCGCUUGCUGCAACUCCACACAUAUUUUCCUUACCCCUUCCUAUAAGCUUAAAUAGUUUUGAUCGCGAGGGUGCGAGAUUGCUGAGUCCCCGUGGCUCACAGAUACUAUAACUCCAGAUGCAGGUCCAGGUGAUUCCGCUCCAGGUGACGCAUACGAGCUCAAGUGGGAGUUCGACGAGGACUCUCAGCGUUACUAUGUCUCUUUUCCUGAUGAUCAGUAGUGGUGCCCAAUUGGGGUUUGAUCGGGACCGUGUCGCAUGUUGGGUUUUCUUCUAUUUUGGCGCCGUAGUCGGGCCAUGAGUGUUUGGAUGAUGUAUGUUAUUUAUGUUCUUUGAUGUGAUGUGGCGAGUGUAAGCCAACUAUGUAUCUCCCCUUUUAUUCUAUAUAUUAGAUGGGAUGUUGUGAUGAUUGCCUAACUUGCGACAUUGCUUUCAAUGCGGUUAUGUCUCUAAGUCGUGCCUCGACACGUGGGAGCUAUAGCCGCAUCGAGGGCGUUACAAGUUUCUGCUUGAAUUCGUUGGGACUCAUCUUCCAACGCAGCUCGCCCUGUUGCCAUCCUAACAUUCUCAGCAUUAAGUUCCUCCUUAGCCUGAGUUGUCUCAUCCCGUAGCUUCGCAACUUCCACCUUAUGAUGUGCUUUAGUCGCCAGAGUCACCUCUGUAGCUAAGAGAGUCGCCAGAGCAUCCAGGAGUUCAUAUAAAACCUAAACCGACGGGCGUACAGAGCCGCUGGCCCCGGCCAUCGCGGCAGCUAUUGGACUAGAGGUCAUAGCCGCCGCAGUUAAUGAAUUCAACAUAUGUUGUGUUCCAUCCAUGAAAAUUGCAUCCCUGCUCGGCGGCUCAUAGGAAUCUGGAAUAUUGUCGCCAUUGGAACAGCCCGCAAGCCCGCCAUCCUGCAAUUGGUAGAUCAACUCAGUUUCGCCGGUUGAGGACUCAUCACCUGAGUAGAUGGCUGUCUCUCCACCUGACAUAGAACCUUCUUCGAGAUCUGCCCCAUGAACAAAGCUAACGAAGGCAGGCUUCCCGGCGGGUUGGAUCUUGGCGGGUCGUGCGCGCUGGGCCGUCUCGGUCGUGUCAGUGCAGAUGUCCGGCUCAGGCUCCGACUCUCCAAUCUUUCCAAUGAAGACGUGAAUUCCACCGAAGGGGACCCGGUACUUGUACUCGAUUGAGUCAGCCUCAGGACCCCAGCCAGCGUCGUCGAUGUAAAGCUUACCGCGGCGACUCUUGGUCAUUCUGCCCACGGCAUAUCCCUUGAUCCCUGAGUAGCCGCCCUUCAAAAACUCGAAACCAUCGUGCUCUGGCCCCACGGUGGGCGCCAACUAUCGUGGAUUUGUCACGGUAGAUGCCCUAGUGAAAGGACUUAGGUGUGGAGCCAUCGCACUAGGUUAGUUUAAAGGGGUUGAACGGGACAAAGGACACAAAGAGUUUACCCAGAUUUGGCCCCUCUCAACGAAUAAAAGCCUAUGUCCUGCUUCUAGUUGUAUUUCUUGAGUUUCGAUUACAAGAGAGAGAAUACGCUUGACCUAGUUCUCGAUUCCUUGUUUCUUGAGUUAAUCCGCCGCCGGGUCUCACCUUUAUAUACACAGGUAGAGACCCGGAGGCUUACAGAGUCCCGGUCGGUUUACACAACGUGACCGGCUCGGUUUCUAACUAAUCUUGCCUUACAGAGCAAGUCCUCCUAUGGUGGUUCACAGCUAGGGUCCUGGGCCCUUAGCAGGCUUGCCUCUAAGAGCCGUCGUCUUCAUACCUUUUCCCUGGGCCUCCUUGGGCUUUCUUCAUGUUAAGCCGCCAAUGUGUAACCCGGCCCCUCCUCGGCGGGUCACAUCUCAAAUUUAUAUUCCCAACAAGUAUGACACAGAUGACCACUUCACAUUCCUGACGGGGAAUCGAGCUCUUGAUGGGCCAUGGACCCAGCUACAAUGGUAUGUCAAAUGAGACAUCCAAGUAGCGAUGGAUCCGCUCUUGUACUAUGAUGCGCCAUCGCUCUGUCUCUACGGCACGCCACCUCUCUUGUUGUGUGGAGUGCCACCGCCUCUCCACGCCAUGCGCUAAGGGUCUGUUGCAUCCUAGUAUUACGCGCAGCACAACGUUGUCUGACGCAUUGAACGGGACGCCCUCGGCCUCAACAGGUCGUGGAGCCUGCACUGGCUCUUGCUCUUCAUCCUGCUCGAACUAGAGGUUCAUGAUGGAGGAGCGCUUCGCCGGGGUUACAUGCUUGGAAUGGUAGAGGGCUAUAGGUUGCGCUAGCUCUGUUUGUGUGCACUAUGUUGUGCCGCCGCCUAGCUUUUAAUUAUCACCACUCUUGCGGGAAACUGAUACAUCAGGAACGUAUCUGUAAAUUUUGAUUGUUUCAUGCUAUUAUAUUAUCACUUUCAUAUACCUUUUUAUAGAAAAUUAUAUUAUUUUUGUACACUAACCUAUUAACUUAGUGCCCAUUGCCAACUCCUGUUUUCUGCAUGUUUUUUAUUUCGUAGGAAAUCAAUAUCUAGGAAGGUCAAAAUACGACGCCAAUUUUUUUUUGAAAAAAUCUGGACGACGAAGGACCCUAGAAGCUUCGGGGAUGCACGAGAGGAGCAACCAUGGGUCCACACGGCCACGUGGUGCGGCCAUGCCCUAGGGCAUGCCACCAGGGCAUGUGGGGCCCACGGGGACUGCCUUACCUCAAUUCCACCACCAUAAUCCCUAUAAAUACUGAAACCCUUCGAUGUAUUUUUAGAAGAAAUUUAUCGCCGUCGCAAGUUCCUGUUUCGCGAAGAUCCAAUCUGGAGGCUUGUUCGCUAUUAUUGGAGUCUUCUUUUCAUCAACCUUGCUACCUCCAUGAUGUGUGAGUAGUUCCAUUAGGACCUUAGGGUCCAUAGUAGUAGCUAGAUCUCUCUCUAUCUCUCUCUCUCUCUCUCUCUCUCUCUCUCUUCAAUAUCAUGUUCCUGUGAGCUGAUCAUGAUCAAUUCGAUGUAAUCGAUGGUGUGUUUGUUGAGAUACGCUGAAUUUUCACUUUACGGAUCAGAUUGUUCAUUAAAUUCAGUUACAUCUUUUGAGGUUUUGUUGUUGUAUAAUUAAAUAGCUUUUCAUGUUUUCCAAUCUACUUCCUCCGUCCCAUAAUAUAAGAACGUUUUUGACACUACAUUAGUGUCAAAAAUGCUCUUAUAUUAUGGGACGAAGAGAGUAUCUAUCUUCUUUGGCCAAGUUCGAUGGAUUUUUCUUCAAAGGGAGUGGUGCUUUGUAGUGGGUUCAAUCUUGUGGUGUUCUAACCCAAUGACAAUAAGGGCGAAGACAAGUAUUGUAUUGUUGCCACUAAGGAUAAAACAACCCUUUUUCAUAUUGGUUGAUGUGUUUCUCUCUACAUUAUGUUGCAAACUUAAUACCUUGAGAUGCAUGUUGGAUAGCGAUUUUGGGGGUGAAGUAUUAGUAGUAGAUGCAUCUAGGUUAACAGUUUACUUAUCAAGGAAGUAAUGCUUAUAUGAGAUUAUAUCAUAAAUGAUCAUAGUCAUAAAUAUUGCAUGUUAAUCGCUGCCCAACUCUAAUUUGUUUACCAUGCCAUUUGCCUAUUUUUGAGAGAGAUGUCACUAGUGAACCUAUGGACCCACUGGAUCUAUGUCCAUUACUGAAUUCUUCAACACCAUUGACACUUUUAUUUUGCCGUGUUAUAUUGCUAUCUACUAUGUCUAUCAUUUGCAGUUUAAUCAUGUACUCCCUCCGUCCCAAAGUUGUACCAAGCUUGAGACAUUUAUUUUGGGACUGAGGGAGUAACUAGCAAGACAAGGGAUUGAUAGCCCUCUUGCCGUGUUGCAGACAAGUUCUUUGUGUCGCAUGUGCAGGUGUUGUUCACUUGUUUAGCUUGGGAGACUCCUACUGGAUUAACAAUCUUGGUUCUUUAAACCGAAGAAAAUACUUACUACCGUUCUGCUUCAUCCUUACGCUUAGGGGAAUCCAACAACUCAUGCGGGAGCAAGCAAAAACCGAUGAGGGACUGGCAGGAAAUGGUGGCAUGUUUGAAUAACGCCAUUAAUGGAAAACUUAGGGAAGAAGGAAGAGCGAGCUAGCACGGAAUCUUCUGCGUUGUCACAAGUUAACACACACGAGUGGCCUUUAAAAAACCAUGUGUGUAACUUUCAAAUUUUUACACGCCAGUAUUCAUACGACGCACAGUGCGCGAUGCUUCAAACCAUCACAAACAUUUCAUUUUUGUAAAGCAUUUACCAAUGAGCGUACACAUUGCCAACAUUUUAAUCGUGCGCGUUAUAACGACAUAUUACACACGCAACUCUACACUUUGAUAUGUGCCCCUUAUCACACACUGUCUUCAUACGAAAAUCGUGCCCGAUGGAUGGGUCAUCGCACGUGUUUUGUUUUCUGGCACACAAGUUUAUUUUUCUACCAUUUGUGAUGCAUCCAUCGCACGCGUUUUGUUUUCUGGCACACAAGUUUAUUUUUCUACCAUUUGUGAUGCAUGCGUCGCACAUAGUUCAGUCCAAUGAUAGAUGUGUUGCCUUAGGCCCAUUCUGCACUAGUGAAGGAAUCCAUGAGAUGAGCAAACAAACCAUUCACUCAGAAAACAUAAGGACCAUAACAACUUGGGCAGCUGAUAUUUUAUGUGAACCAAGAUUCUCACAGAGAGACCGAGCAACGAUAAUCACUGUGAUGUGGUCUAUUUGGACUUCCCGGAACAGAUGGACACAUGAUGGGGAUAAACUCGACCCGGCCAACUCGAUGAGACUUACCCGAGAAGCUCUGGCCCUACUUGAUAUUCCCGUACAGCACACAAAAGUUUUGCCAGGGCAUGGGUGGUGGCCUUCGGAAUCAGAUCAAGUUAAGAUAAACACCGAUGCAGCAGUCGUUCAUGACGAAGGCAAAAGUGGAGCUGGUGAUGUUGCAAGAUCAUCCACAGCCCUGUUAGGUGCUUGGUGUAAACCACAACCUGGAGUUACUGACCCCAUGAUAGCGGAGGCCCUUGCAGUUCGGGAUGGAGUAAUUUUUGCAAAUCUCAGAGGGUUUACGCAUGUGGUGGUCGAGACCGAUAGCCUGGAGGUGGUCAACCUUUGGAACACUCGCCGCAGCAGUCGUUCAGUUGUGGCACCAGUUAUCUUAGAAAUUGAAGAGCUUUCUGAUAGUUUUCAUUCUUUUGUAAUCGAACAUGUAAGUAGAUCAGCCAAUGGUCCAGCUCAUCUUUGUGCAAAGCGUGCUUGCACGGUGACUGGCACCGAAAGCUGGCUUACGGAGACUCCCAGCUUCCUGAUCAGCAGCCUUAUUGCUGACUGUUCAUAGAAUGCUUUCGUUUGAAUAAAAGCUCUAAAUUCCCUGCAAAAAAAUUACUAGUAUUUAUGUUGUUGUAUAUGCCAAGGGAGGUGAAAGAAAAUAGACAAAUCAAACAUAUAAAAUGACAGGACAAAGGCAUUGCCAAGGAGCAGUGAGGGCCAAUCUUGAACCUCUUCAACCCCUUCAUGACAUCAUUUUCAGAAGAGGAAUUUGAUGAUUUGCCACGGCUUUCUUUGCACUUUGAUGAUUUGCCCUUGUUUUCAUUGACACUGAUUUUUUGCCACACCUUUGCCAAAACUUUGAUGAUUUGCCCCUGACAAGAUGGGCCCGCCGUGAAAUGUCUAAAAUGUCCCUGCAAUCCAGAUGACCACAGCACAGCCUAGGCCGAGUACCAUCUCACCUCUCCCAGCCUCGACCAAACCACGGCGAUGACCUGCACAAGCCGAAGCCCCGACCUCCGCGUGCUGUGGAAGCUCCCGGCCGUCGCGACUGUCUCCUUCGCGGGGUGCUCGCGCUGCUAGCCUACCUCAGCAGCUCGGUGUGCUGUGGUGACCACGGUUGGUGAGGCAGCGCUGCUUGGCUACAACUGUAUGCCGUGGAAGCUCUCGAACGACACGACGGUUGCCGACAUUGGCGGUGACCCUGACUACCAGCAAAGCGGCGCUACUUGGCUACCACUGUAUGUCGUGGAAGCUCUCGGACGACGCGACGAUUACCAACGUUGGCGCUCACCCUAACCACAACCAGCAAGGCGACGCUGCGUGCGGCGGCGCAGCAAGUAGGCUCGACCUGCGGCUGCCGAUCUGGUUGGCCUUCCUCGAUUUAGAGCCUUAGAGGAGGUGAUGAGGCAAACGCCGCGGCGGGUGCCGGCGCUACGCGCGACGGCUGCAGCGACCGAGCUUGACCUACAGCCGCGCAUGGCAGCCGCAACGACUGGGCUCGACCUGCUCUGGUAGACGGAGAUGGGCGUGCAUGGCUAGCUGAACAUGGCCGUAGAAGCGAACAACAUGGCAGCUCGGGCGUCCAACAGGCAAGGGAAGAGGAGCAGCAUAGCGAGCCACCGAGGUUGGGGACGAACGGAGAAGUGCAGGCAACCGACAGAGCAGUUCUUGUGAAUCGAUUCAGUUCAACCAAUUUGGGCCGCUUUGAUUCAAGGGGUAUUUUGAUAAUCAGUUCAACUGUAUUAUAUGUAAAACAGAAUAAAUCGGUUAAAAGGGGCAAAUCAUCAAAGUUUUGCCAAAGGUGUGGCAAAAAUUCAGUGUCAAUCAAAACAGUGGCAAAUCAUCAAAGUGCGAAGAAAGCUGUGGCAAAUUAUCAAAAUCCCUUUUUUCAGAAAGACACCUCUCAACGUACCAAGAUAGCGCACCCAAAAAAGGGAGAAAUUAGACCACAAAAAGGGGAAACACAACAGAGAAAACUAACAACCCAAAGACAAAAACAAGACAGCUAGCCACCUUUCACAUAACAUACAAAUACAAUUUCUUUAGACAAAACCGCCGACCUAAUAAUCUCAGGCUAAGUGUAAACCUGAAAACCCAACAAAUCCAAACAGAGGAAAACUGGAGAGAAACACACAACCAACCGUAUUUUCCCUAUAUUUUCCCUUAAGACGUCCACAACAACAUUGUUCAUCUAGCAGCGGCAAGAAAAUAACACGCAGACACUACCCCACAGCAUCAGAAUAGAAUCAAAAAACUCGUCAAGCAUGUGAACAACAAGCCAUUCUAAUUUACCAGCAUAACAGACAUGCAAUCAAAUGCAAGAGGAAGGCAGCGAAGAAAAGACGCCACUCCGAGCCCGCGAGGAUGCAACCAUCAAACCCCAACAGGGAAAGACGUCGCUCCCAGCCACUGAGGCCGCAACCGCCGGACGCCCCUUAAGCCGCCUCCUCGCAGCCGCUGAGCACCCGGCCGAGACAGAUGUCUCUCCCUACAGUCGUCCUUAAGCCACCUCCAUGCACAACAUCUCUUACCAUCUCGAAACCGUAGGCGUGCUAUGCUGAUCGAAAGGACCCACAAGGGUCAUGACCCAUCCAAAACUGUGAGCCAAAUCCAAAAUUGGAUACCUCAAUCUGAGAGUUUCAUUCAUAUGCCACCGUUCCGUUUUCCAGUCAGCGCCUUGCAAACUGAGAAAGCCCCAACCAGCUCGAAUGUACAUUUCAAAGCAGCUGGCUUGAGUUGAUUCAUAUUCAGUAUUUUCUGUUACAGACCUUGUAAAUCAUGUUAACUGAAACAAAAACUAAACAACGAAAUUGUCUGUUAACAUCCCAGCAGAAGAAAAGAGACAAAACGCCAACGGCUAUAGUCCAGAAAACGCAGGCGACACCAAAGCUCUUGGCUGGAGCAGAAGCAUCUGUUUUACACAUCCGGACUCCAGAGCCUAUACACCAAACUACCAAUGAACCUAGAUUGAUCUUCAUCAAAGAGCAGCACCAUACCAUGCUUGACUCCAAGUAAUCU
rnacentral:lncRNA from 1 species